AACGAACGCUGGCGGCAGGCUUAACACAUGCAAGUCGAACGAGAUCUUCGGAUCUAGUGGCAGACGGGUGAGGAACACGUGGGAACAUCCCUUCAGUUCGGAAUAACGGUGGGAAACUAACGCUAAUACCGGAUACGUCCUUCGGGAGAAAGAUUUAUCGCUGAAAGAUUGGCCCGCGUCUGAUUAGCUAGUUGGUGAGGUAACGGCUCACCAAGGCUACGAUCAGUAGCUGAUCUGAGAGGAUGAUCAGCCACAUUGGGACUGAGACACGGCCCAAACUCCUACGGGAGGCAGCAGUGGGGAAUAUUGGACAAUGGGCGCAAGCCUGAUCCAGCCAUGCCGCGUGAGUGAUGACGGCCUUCGGGUUGUAAAGCUCUUUUGUCCGGGAAGAUAAUGACUGUACCGGAAGAAUAAGCCCCGGCAAACUUCGUGCCAGCCGCCGCGGUAAAAC
rnacentral:rRNA from 1 species